AUGGGCGGGUCCGAGAGGACCGUUGUGUGGUUCAGGAGGGACCUCAGGAUCGACGACAACCCGGCUUUGGCCGCCGCCGCCAGGGACGGCGCGGUGCUCCCUGUCUUCAUAUGGUGCCCGGCCGAGGAGGGCCGCUUCUACACCGGCCGCUGCUCCCGGUGGUGGCUCAAGGAGUCGCUUGCCCACCUUGCCAGGUCGCUCCAGGCGCUCGGCUGCCCGCUCGUGCUCAUCCGAGCUCAGACUACUCUUGCCGCCCUUCUGCAGUGCGUUGAUUCCAUCGGCGCCACCAGAGUGGUCUAUAAUCAUCUAUACGACCCUAUUUCACUUGUGCGGGAUGACAAAAUCAAGAAUGAGCUUUUGGGCCUUGGAAUUUCUAUGCAGAGUUUCAAUGGUGAUCUGCUAUAUGAGCCAUGGGAAGUUUAUGAUGAGAAUGGGCUUGCAUUUACAACGUUCAAAAAGUAUUGGGAAAAGUGCAUGAAAUUACAUAUCGAUAUAUCACCAUCUCUUGCCCCUUGGAGGUUGGUGCCUGUCUCAGGUAUAGAAAACAUUUGCAGUAGUUCAAUUGAUAACCUAGGUCUUGAAUCAAGUAAGGAUGAGGAAUCAAGCAAUGCUUUGCUAAGCAGGGCUUGGUCUCCUGGCUGGCGCAAUGCGGAGAAGACACUUGAGGAUUUCGUGUCUCAUGGUCUCCUAGAUUAUUCAAAAGACAGAAUGAAGGUUGCCGGAACUACAACAUCGUUAUUGUCACCAUAUCUUCAUUAUGGUGAGGUGAGUGUAAGGAAAAUCUAUCAACUUGUCAGGGUGCAACAGAUCAAGUGGGAAAAUGAGGGGAAAUCCGGAGCUGGGGAGAGUGUUAACUUGUUCCUGCUGUCAAUUGGUCUUCGAGAAUAUUCACGUUACUUGUGUUUCAACUUUCCAUUCACACAUGAAAGGUCGCUGCUGGGGAACUUGAAACACUACCCCUGGCGAGCAGACGAGGACCGGUUCAAAUCCUGGAGACAGGGAAUGACAGGAUACCCGUUAGUAGAUGCUGGCAUGAGGGAGCUAUGGGCUACUGGCUGGACACAUAAUCGUAUAAGAGUAAUAGUUUCAAGCUUUGCUGUGAAAUUUCUACAAAUUCCGUGGACUUGGGGGAUGAAGUACUUUUGGGAUGUGCUGUUGGAUGCUGAUAUAGAAAGUGAUAUUCUUGGCUGGCAGUACAUAUCUGGGUCUUUGCCUGAUGGACACGAGCUUGGUCGUCUUGAUAAUCCAGAGGUUCAAGGUCAAAAGUAUGACCCAGAUGGUGAAUACGUAAGAACUUGGAUUCCAGAGCUAGCUAGAAUGCCAGGGGAAUGGAUCCAUCAUCCGUGGGAUGCACCGAGCUCUAUACUAGAAGUUGCUGGUGUUGAGCUAGGCUUCAACUAUCCUAUGCCCAUAGUAGAACUUCACACGGCUCGGGAGUGCUUAGAUGAUGCCAUCUCCACGAUGUGGCAAUUGGAUACAGCCGAAAAACUAGCAGAAUUAGAUGGUGAGGUUGUUGAAGACAACUUGAGCCAUAUCAAGAGUUUUGAUGUCCCAAAAGUUGUUUUGAAGGAACUAUCUCCUCACUGUGAUAGAAAAGUGCCCACUGAUGAUGGCAGGAAUCUUGAGUUACAACCUAAGGAACUGAAGGGCACAAAUAAACAGACCAUUUGUGUUGAUGUAAUCAAGGCCUCAAAGAUGGAAGACACAGGCUCCAUAGCAAACUCUCCGAUAUCAAGGAAAAGAUCCAGCAGUGGGAGUGUGUUUAAUGUCCCAUCUUAUUCAUCUUCAGUCGAAGUGCACUCACAGAAUCAGCAUCCUGGUGGUUAUUUAGUUGGGUCGUCAAAAUAUAUCCUGCAGAAAGCAGAGAGGAACUGUGUUGGUAAGGCAGAAGAUGAUGACAGUGCCGAUAGUGGUACAAACACCUCAAGAGCAUCCAAGAGACCUGCCGCCUGA
rnacentral:rRNA from 1 species